UACGUAGGUGGCAAGCGUUGUCCGGAUUUACUGGGCGUAAAGGGCGUGCAGGCGGUUUGUCGCGUCUGCCGUGAAAGUCCGGGGCUCAACUCCGGAUCUGCGGUGGGUACGGGCAGACUAGAGUGAUGUAGGGGAGACUGGAAUUCCUGGUGUAGCGGUGAAAUGCGCAGAUAUCAGGAGGAACACCGAUGGCGAAGGCAGGUCUCUGGGCAUUAACUGACGCUGAGGAGCGAAAGCAUGGGGAGCGAACAGG
rnacentral:rRNA from 1 species